CCAGAGAACUUUCCAGAGAUGGAUUGGUGCCUUUCGGGAACUCUGAGACAGGUGCUGCAUGGCUGUCGUCAGCUCGUGUUGUGAAAUGUUGGGUUAAGUCCCGCAACGAGCGCAACCCUUAUCCUUUGUUGCCAGCGGUUAGGCCGGGAACUCAAAGGAGACUGCCAGUGAUAAACUGGAGGAAGGUGGGGAUGACGUCAAGUCAUCAUGGCCCUUACGAGUAGGGCUACACACGUGCUACAAUGGCGCAUACAAAGAGAAGCGACCUCGCGAGAGCAAGCGGACCUCAUAAAGUGCGUCGUAGUCCGGAUUGGAGUCUGCAACUCGACUCCAUGAAGUCGGAAUCGCUAGUAAUCGUGGAUCAGAAUGCCACGGUGAAUACGUUCCCGGGCCUUGUACACACCGCCCGUCACACCAUGGGAGUGGGUUGCAAAAGAAGUAGGUAGCUUAACCUUCGGGAGGGCGCUUACCACUUUGUGAUUCAUGACUGGGGCGAAGUCGUAACAAGGUAGGCGUAGUGCU
rnacentral:rRNA from 1 species